GAUGAAGAACGUAGCGAAAUGCGAUAAGUAAUGUGAAUUGCAGAAUUCAGUGAAUCAUCGAAUCUUUGAACGCACAUUGCGCCCGCCAGUAUUCUGGCGGGCAUGCCUGUUCGAGCGUCAUUUCAACCAUCAAGCCCCGGGCUUGUGUUGGGGACCUGCGGCUGCCGCAGGCCCUGAAAUGCAGUGGCGGGCUCGCUGUCACUCCGAGCGUAGUAAUACAUCUCGCUCUGGACGUGCUGCGGGUUCCGGCCGUUAAAAGCCUUAUUUACCCAAGGUUGACCUCGGAUCAGGUAGGAAGACCCGCUGAACUUAAGCAUAUCAAUAAGCGGAGG
rnacentral:misc_RNA from 1 species